UACGAAGGGGGCUAGCGUUGUUCGGAUUUACUGGGCGUCAAGCGCACGUAGGCGGAUUGUUAAGUCGGGGGUGAAGUCCUGGAGCUCAACUUCAGAAUUGCCUUCGAUACUGGCUUUCUAGAGGCUGGAAGAGGUUAGUGGAAUUCCCAGUGUAGAGGUGAAAUUCGUAGAUAUUGGGAAGAACACCAGUGGCGAAGGCGGCUAACUGGUCCAGAUCUGACGCUGAGGUGCGAAAGCGUGGGGAGCAAACAGG
rnacentral:rRNA from 1 species